GUGGGGAAUAUUGGACAAUGGGGGCAACCCUGAUCCAGCCAUGCCGCGUGUGUGAAGAAGGCCUUUUGGUUGUAAAGCACUUUAAGCAGUGAAGAAGACUCCAUGGUUAAUACCCAUGGACGAUGACAUUAGCUGCAGAAUAAGCACCGGCUAACUCUGUGCCAGCAGCCGCGGUAAUACAGAGGGUGCAAGCGUUAAUCGGAAUUACUGGGCGUAAAGCGAGCGUAGGUGGCUUGAUAAGUCAGAUGUGAAAGCCCCGGGCUUAACCUGGGAACGGCAUCUGAUACUGUUAGGCUAGAGUAGGUGAGAGGAAGGUAGAAUUCCAGGUGUAGCGGUGAAAUGCGUAGAGAUCUGGAGGAAUACCGAUGGCGAAGGCAGCCUUCUGGCAUCAUACUGACACUGAGGUUCGAAAGCGUGGGUAGCAAACAGGAUUAGAAACCCGGGUAGUCC
rnacentral:rRNA from 1 species